CACAAACUCCACAGCACAGCUGUUCCACAUUCAUCUUUUCCUUCUUGCAAAUUUUUCUUCACCGAGAGGCAGUUUCUCUCUAUUUUUGUUGUUGUUUGUUGUUGCAGAGCCAAUUACAAAAGGCUGGUGGGUGACUUGAGCCACUAGAGCAGGGUGGAAGUCUGCGAAGGUGUUUUGUACCCAGCAAGAUCUGCAGCAGAGCUGAGGGAGGGAAGCCCUUCACCUGAGCCCUAUCCCUGCUAUCGAGGCACAUCUUGACUCAGCUCCACAAGGCUCUGAAAUAGUCCAAAACAGGAGGACGGGCAUUCAGUCAAAGCAAGGAUUGCAGGAAAUGUCAGAUGUGUGAGCUGGUAAGUGUUGCAUAUCUCAAGGUGGGGAGUUUAAUGUAGGCAAGAACUGGAAAAUACAUACAGCAUCAUUUUUUCCUACAAAUUCAAGGCUGAACUCUUGUGACCUGUGCAUCCUGUGCACCAUGCUGAUAGAUGUAGCCCUGUAUUGCAAUACUGAAACUAGAAGGAGGAUUGUAUGCCUUAUUUGAAAAUGUACCUUGCUUGAAAUCCUUUUAUGCGUUAUGUUGUGGCUUUUUUCUAAUCAACUGAUCUUGAGGAUUCCAUUUACAUUUACUUCAUUCAGUAGCUCGAGAGCCAUUGUGUGUUUCAAAAGGGUUAUUUUCCUUUGUAUUCAGUUCCCUUGUGUCUGAGACGAUGCGUUUGGGGGCUGUUUGGAAACUGGACAGCCUGGCCUGGGGCUGGGAGCCACAGACAGCCAAUAACACUAAAUUAGAACCUGAGUGGGAAAAUGCAUCUCAGCAAAUUUCACCUCUGUGUCCUCAGUUACCUCGUAGGGCUGAAACCCUUGGAAGGUCCUUGGCUGGAGAAAGGGAGGUGUGGAGGUUUUGGAGCCUGCAGAUGUGCAUCUUGCUGACUGCAGCUCACAGAAGGGGUAUGAAGUUCUGGGAACCCCAUCCUCAUGAUGCAAGCCAAGCUCUGUUGCUCAGAAGAGACACAGGUGCUGCAUCAAACUGACACAGCCCUGAUUGGACAGCCAUUUCCAGGUAAACAUCACAUUGAAAUAAUGAGGAAAGUAGUGUUUGGAGAAGUUACAUCAUCCUUAUCUUCAGUCUAAGCUGGUAUAUGUGUUAGGAGCCUGCUAACAUGCACCGACUUUGGAAACAUGCAUAAAGUAGACCGUGUACUUGGAAAAGCUGUAAAAUCGUUUCUCUUUUCCUAGAGGUAUUAAAACUUCCCUUCCCCUGCUAAAAUCCUUAACCUAAAAUAUGUCAAAUGGUCUAAGCCUUGAUUAUAUAUGCCUUAAGCUUAUCAUAUAUAGAAAAGAAUACCAGUGUCCUUUGUUUGUCUAACAAAGGCUAAAUUUAAUCUUCAGAGCAUAGUGCAAAGAAUAUCUGUUUAUUUAGAUUUCUAGCCUGGGGGCUGAGAGGCACAGUUUGUAUUUAAGACCUCUAGCUGACAUUUGCUAACUUGGUUUGCAUACAUUUAAAUGUGUUUUUGUACCCACAGGCAGUUGCUUAGAGUGUAAAGUGAUAGAAUAUAUGAGUAUAUAUGGCCAAAUCAUUAUUACUCCAAGUUAUCCCUGCUGGAAUAUGAAGGAGAAUGUGAAUUUUGGAGACCCUAAAAUCCUCAGAUGUUACCAAGGUUCCAGGAAUGCAGAGCUGGAUGCAUUUGAAUUUUGCAGUGUGUGGAGCAGACAGGGAGGAGAAGCAGUAAACCUGUCUGAUUUAAGCCUUUUCUUGCUUCAGGAAGCUGCUGCUGCUGGGGAGCAGUAGAGGAUGCAGGGGCAGCCCUUCAUGUCAUUGUCUGGACUCACAGCUUAGCUCUUCCUGGCUGACACUGUAUAGUUUGGGGGCUGAUUGACAAGGAGCAAAUAGUUUAUGACACCUCAGAGCAGGAUCUUGCAGUGCUGUUUUAUGUAACAUAGGGGUAUGAUGGUCAAUUACUGUUUAUUUAAAGUCUCUAUGCAAUCCUAUGUAGAAGGGGGCAGGCUGUGGAAAACGUCCUCCAGAAACAGUGGUAGGUUGAAAAUCAAAUGCAUUUCCUUCUCUGUGAGUGGUUCAGGAGAGAGCCUGUGUGCUUGGGAUGAAGAUGAAGAGAUGAAACUGCUGUAAACAGGGGCUCUCCUCAGGUCCAAACCUUUCCAGGGUACACUUGGCCACAGUAGGCAACCAUCCCAGGCUGCUCCAUGAGAUCCCUCUGACCCAUCCUUGCUGCCUGUGGUUCCUUGUUCACCAAUGCAGUCCUGUAUGAAGUCUGCAAAGAAACACUUUGCAAGAAAAACCUAUUUCCAGUAGAAAUUACUCUAAAAAUUCUUGGGAACGUUUUUACUGUUAUGAUUGUAAAGAGCUUCUCUUAAUGACAUCUAAAUAUGGGGGUAAACUUCAGCUGAUGGCAUCUCAUUAAAACCAACAGAAUAAGAAUUCAAAUGUGCAUCUUCCCCUAAGUGUUUAUCUAGCAGCAGGAGCCUAUUAUCUUGUGUGACGAUGUUAUCUGCUAGCGCCUGUGUAUCUGUACCAAAUUGGAUACAUUUAGACACAGAGGAUUCUGAGUGUUUCUGAUGACAAAGAUAACGAACAACCUGCUUAAAGGAUGGGUGUCGUUUACGUAAUGUAAAUAAAUAUUCAAGCACGUUUCUCCA
ensembl:lncRNA